AGGACGAACGCUGGCGGCGUGCUUAACACAUGCAAGUCGAGCGAACCUUCGGGUUAGCGGCGAACGGGUGAGUAACACGUGGGCAACCUGCCCCGAGCUCUGGGAUAACUCCGGGAAACCGGGGCUAAUACUGGAUAUGACCCGAGAAGACAUCUUCUCGGGUGGAAAGUUUUUCGGCUCGGGAUGGGCCCGCGGCCUAUCAGCUUGUUGGUGGGGUAACGGCCUACCAAGGCGACGACGGGUAGCC
rnacentral:rRNA from 1 species